AAAUCGCCAGCCAUCAUUCAAGCAUGGGCCCUCACCCUCUGUGCUUAAAUUACAUUCUGACCACAACAAGCUAGCUCUCCUGUGGAUCGAGCAGACAGGCUACCCCAAGCUCCCCAUGGACACCAAUGAGCCUUGAGCACCCAUGACCCAAUCGCCGGUUCACCAGUUGGUCUUCUUCGGACCACUUUUGUGAGUGAAAAUCCCAGGCGGCCUGCUGUUUCCGAGAGGCUAGAAGCACGUCUGGCACAAACAGUCACACCAUUGCAUGUCGAAGCCACACCGUAAGUGAACCUGGUGACCCUGUCUGUAUGAUUCUCUAUGUAUUCAGUCGUCGCUGUCUGAUUGGCUGCUUAGAGGAGCAGGCUGUUUGCAUCAACCGGCAGGGGUACUGAAUAAAUGUGCUGUAUAUAUGCACACACAGUCUUUAAAUAGAAGAUAACUACUCUUCUGAAAAUUUAUGAGCAUGAACUAUAACGGUGGACCUUAGAUGCCUUGUUAGUGUUGUAGUGAUUCAGUAGCUUUAAAAAGCACCUAUUAUAGACCAGUCCUGUGGGAGAGGAUUGGGGGGAGGGCUUUUUAGAUAAAACAUACAUGCAUACUGAGCUGUUUUGAGCCUGGGUGAGUGAGA